rnacentral:rRNA from 1 species
AGCGAACGCUGGCGGCAGGCUUAAUACAUGCAAGUCGAGCGAAUGGAUUAAGAGCUUGCUCUUAUGAAGUUAGCGGCGGACGGGUGAGUAACACGUGGGUAACCUGCCCAUAAGACUGGGAUACUCCGGGAAACCGGGGCUAAUACCGGAUAACAUUUUGAACCGCAUGGUUCGAAAUUGAAAGGCGGCUUCGGCUGUCACUUAUGGAUGGACCCGCGUCGCAUUAGCUAGUUGGUGAGGUAACGGCUCACCAAGGCAACGAUGCGUAGCCGACCGGAGAGGGUGAUCGGCCACACGGGGACUGAGACACGGCCCAGACUCCUACGGGAGGCAGCAGUAGGGAAUCUUCCGCAAUGGACGAAAGUCUGACGGAGCAACGCCGCGUGAGUGAUGAAGGCUUUCGGGUCGUAAAACUCUGUUGUUAGGGAAGAACAAGUGCUAGUUGAAUAAGCUGGCACCUUGACGGUACCUAACCAGAAAGCCACGGCUAACUACGUGCCAGCCGCCGCAGUAA